rnacentral:rRNA from 1 species
AACAAACGCUGGCGGCAUGCCUAACACAUGCAAGUCGAACGAAGCCUUCGGGCUUAGUGGCGCACGGGUGCGUAACGCGUGGGAAUCUGCCCUUGGGUUCGGAAUAACAGUUAGAAAUGACUGCUAAUACCGAAUGAUGUCUUCGGACCAAAGAUUUAUCGCCCAAGGAUGAGCCCGCGUCGGAUUAGCUAGUUGGUGAGGUAAAGGCUCACCAAGGCGACGAUCCGUAGCUGGUCUGAGAGGAUGAUCAGCCACACUGGGACUGAGACACGGCCCAGACUCCUACGGGAGGCAGCAGUGGGGAAUAUUGGACAAUGGGCGAAAGCCUGAUCCAGCAAUGCCGCGUGAGUGAUGAAGGCCUUAGGGUUGUAAAGCUCUUUUACCCGAGAUGAUAAUGACAGUAUCGGGAGAAUAAGCUCCGGCUAACUCCGUGCCAGCAGCCGCGGUAAU